AAAUAUAUAGUGUAAUUGCAUAAGAAAUUUUCAAUUUCUAGGUAUUAUAUUUU
rnacentral:tRNA from 1 species